GGCCUGGCCGCCCUGCCGGGAGCUCUGCGCUUGGUCACAGGCAUUCGCCCUCCCUUGUGUUGCCUGGAUAUCAGGCUUUUUCAAGCCCCAGUCCUGCCUCACAGAUGACUUCUGAUGCAGUUUUGAAAUGUCCCUGCUGAUACUCCUGAAGUUGAAGGGCAGGAGGGAUUUCGAUUAGUCAGAACACUGGCCCACACAGUAAUUUCUGCUAUCAGAACAUCCUUGCCGCAUUCAUAUAAAAGGUUUCCAGUCCAGAAGUCUUCUCUACCAGGCCAGGGAGAUUCCAUCAUCUUCAUAAAUGUCACCGUCUUCUGCAUCUUCCCUCCUUUGCACUGAAAGGCAACUGCACCGGGAUUUGCUGCUUCCUUUGAAGGCAACCGCA